CGCUCUGCCCGUCAGCACUCAGCUGUUGCUGCUGCUGCCUGGGCUUUUCCUGCUGCCUGCUCUGGAGCACCAACCCCAGCAGGAUGAGCACUGCUGCGCCAGUGGAGACUAACAGAGACACUGUGGUGGCGAUGGAAGUGGACAUGGUGCUGAAUGAGGAAGAGAUGAUGGAGGUGGACGUGGAAGACCAGGUUGAGGAGAUGGAAGUUGAUGAGGAGGAUGACAUCGAGGCGAUGGAAGUGGAUGAGAAGGAUGAGGAGGAGCCCAUGGUCCUUGGAUGAAGAUGGAGCCCCACAAGACUGAUGCAGAUGAUGGCUGUAGAUAUUACGGCGGUGUAUAUAUGUUUGAAAAGUUAGGAUAUUUUUGUAAAUAUGUUCUUAGGUUAGUAGUUCUUUGUAAAUAUGUUUUGAAGAUUGUUACUCCAUAGGAUCCCAUGGAAAUAUGUGCAGUAGAUUG